rnacentral:rRNA from 1 species
GGCCGCAAGGUUAAAACUCAAAUGAAUUGACGGGGGCCCGCACAAGCGGUGGAGCAUGUGGUUUAAUUCGAUGCAACGCGAAGAACCUUACCUGGUCUUGACAUCCACAGAACUUUCCAGAGAUGGAUUGGUGCCUUCGGGAACUGUGAGACAGGUGCUGCAUGGCUGUCGUCAGCUCGUGUUGUGAAAUGUUGGGUUAAGUCCCGCAACGAGCGCAACCCUUAUCCUUUGUUGCCAGCGGUCCGGCCGGGAA